UCUGUGAUUCUCUCCACAGCAUGGAAGGGUCCAUUGUGCAGCUGCCAGAGAUAGUCUCCUUGAAGAAGAAAUACAAAGCCUACCUCUAUUUGGAUGAAGCUCACAGCAUUGGUGCAGUGGGGGCAACAGGACGAGGAGUUGUGGAGUACUUUGGUAUGAAUCCUGAUGAUGUUGACGUACUAAUGGGAACAUUCACAAAGAGCUUUGGUGCAGCUGGAGGAUACAUAGCUGGCAAAAAGGGCCUCGUGGACUUUUUACGAACUCAUUCUCACAGCGCUGUGUACGCCACAUCCAUGUGCCCACCUGUGGCAGAGCAAAUCAUCAGAGCAAUGAAGUGUCUCAUGGGGUUAGACGGAACAACGCAAGGGCUCCAGAGAGUGCGCCAGCUGGGGAAAAACACGAGAUACUUCAGAAGAAGACUGCACGAAAUGGGCUUCAUCAUCUAUGGCAAUGAUGAUUCUCCUGUGGUCCCGUUACUCCUUUAUAUGCCUGGUAAGAUAGGGGCUUUUGCAAGACGCAUGUUAGAAAAAAUAUCGGGGUUGUUGUGGUUGGGUUUCCAGCUACUCCUAUCACAGAGUCCAGGGCUCGGUUUUGUGUGUCAGCUGCACAUACACGGGAGAUGUUAGACACGGUUUUGAAUGCUCUGGAUGAAUUGGGUGAUUUUCUACAACUGAAAUAUUCACGAUAUUCCAAGUCAUCUCAUCCUGAACUGUAUGAAGAAAAUCGGUUUGAAUUUGAAGAUUAAGUUUUCCACCCAUGAAGAGAACAUUAUGAUGCUAUGAAAGGGGGGAAAACCCAAAAACCAAAUAUGAAUGCAUUUCUUCCCUUCUAAGGACAGUUUUUGUUUCUCAGUUAAUUGAAAGGAGGGAAAGCUUGGUUUUUGCAUUUUAUUGUAUCAAAUUUCUGUAUUUAAGAGACUGAAAUAUUGAUACAGAUUUGCCUCCCAGGAGAUCUGUUCUUCUUAUGGUAUUUUUUAUGCAGAAUGAAUGCAUCCAUUGAUCAUGUUGCUAGCGUACAGCUUUUGUUAUGGCCCCUUUUUAUGAAGAGGCUUCAGAUAGUCCUAAUUUUUGACUGAAAGAAUAAAGGUUAAAAACCAAAUGGAUCCAGUGUAGUAUGGCAGUAUAACUGAGCUUCAUCAGUGAAAUUGAAUUCUGUCUGCUGAAGAGCAUAAAUCAAGACAUCACUGUGGAUUGCUACAGAGCAGAAAGUGACCUCUUAACUAAUUUGCCCUAUCAUGCCUUUUCCCAGGGACAAAAAAAGUUAGAAGAUGGCUAAUGCUGAGAACAAGAAAAGUUACCUCAUCAGAUAUUUCUGACAGCAGAUUAUGGGAAAGAGGAAUGUCUUCUCCCCUCCACAGACCCUUUCUCUGCCACUUCAAUAUACUGUAAGCCUCAUAUUAUACAAAAGUUGGGGCUUAGAAAAAGAAAUGUUUUUAUCUAAUGCAUUUGACCUACAGCCUUCCCCAUCUUAUUAUGACGAGAGCUUCUCAGCAGGCUUGCUCCCUUUUCAUGUAGCAGCAGUAAAUAAUUUUAAUAACCAUUUAACUUUCCCGUAAAAAACUUGAUCAAAACAGUCAGAUACUCGCAGUUCACAAACUGCAGAUGACAUUUAUGGGCCCAUUCCUAAGUUUCCUGAACUACUUAUGGGCUUAAUAAGUUCACUAACAAGUACAUAAUGCCUAAGUUGUUAGUUAUACAGAAUUGUGACGUUUGGGAUACCGUGAGCAGUUCUCCCACCUGCUAAAUUGAGAGCUCCGCCAUUCCUAACUGCACUAAGGUCACCCACUUAAUAACAUUUCUUGAAAUGUUCUUGUCUGGUUUAUGCAUGUCAGGGAUUGUUUUGCUUGUCAGGCUGCAGGCUUUUUGAGUGGCUUAUUUUUCAAAUAAUUGAUUAUGUCAUCUGAGAGGAAGACGUCCUUGUUCUCCUUUCCACUGCUCAAAUGACAGAUGCUCAAAGAUGCUUGGAGGAAAUGUUAUAGUCUGCAGCUUCCCUGCAAUGCCUUCAGCAGCAGAACCGUCAGCCUUGUGUGGGCUGGGUAGUUGGAGGGAUAUUGUAGCUUUUUCCCUUUUCUGUGGUGUUGAAAAGUGGUUCUGCAGCUUUAAGAAUGAACUCCAAACCAUUCCACACUAUCAAAUGUCAUUGUAAACACAUCAGAUGAGAGAUGUUUAGGUUUCUGUUGCACAGAUGUACCACACUUUCAUGUUCUCUUGAAAGCUGUGGUGUAAACUUAACCCACAGCUGCAAUAUUAGAUUUAAGAACAGUACAAUUAAAUUGCGGAGUACCAAUUACACUAUAUUACUCUCUGCUUGUUAAAGCUGCUUUCAGGAUAUAACAAGGCUGAUUGGUUAUGAGGGGCCACUUUUUGUUGGGUUUUUGUUGUUGUUGUCAUGCAAGUUAAUAAAAAUCCAGUGGUGCUAUAACUUUAAGAACUGAUUACAACACAUUCCAUGAUAUCAGAUGUUGGCUUUAGGAAACAUAUAUCAAGGGCUGGGGUGGGACUAAGUUGUGUCAUAUGAUUCUUCGCUCUGGUAGAUGGACUAGAAAAGCACUGCAGAGGUCCAAGGGAGCUGCGUUUGUGGAUAAGAGCAAAUUCACUGUAUAAAUAUUAAAACAUCCUUGGACAUGGGACAUGGAAAAAUUAGGAAAGGUGGACUUUGUCUUUAAGUAACCUGGCGAUUUGUGAUUUGCAGCUUGGCUACAUGCAGGGUGAGUGCACUACUACAAAGGAGAUGGGCUGAGAAAUUUUCACAACCUGUUCUUCGAGGAAAAGUACUGAGCGUGAUAUAUUGCAUUUUGAUCUCCGUUGCCAAACAUCUGUGGCCAGAUCCUCAGUUGACUUCUGACCUUCCAUCUUGGGGUGUCUGGCCGUAGUUUAUAUUUCAGCAAGCAUUAUUAUACGUGCUGUUGCAGGCAGCAUGCUAUUUUCCUCAAAGUGAGGCCUGAGAUUGAUUAAGCUACAGAACGAUCACUUUUUGUCCCCCUAUAGGGGAAUGUUUUCUGUCUAAGGCUGAAUUCCUCCUGCCCUCAGAACAUUACUCUCUCUCAUAUUAAGGAGACAGGACAGCUAUUUUUCAGAGACUGUUGGUUGAUUUAUUAUAUGCUUUCUUCUGAUUUCUUCCAUCCCUUGCACAUUAGAGCAAGUACAGGCUGACUAUCCCUGGGCUUGGGGAAUGUUCUGGGAGAGGUCCCUGCCCCCCUGGUGCAAUAAUACAACCCCCAGGAACUCCAGAUUCUUAGAUUUUUCCCCAUGAGGCUGAGUUAUGGUCUGGCACUGGUUGUUCCACCAGUGUAAUUUCAGUGGAGAUUUUCCAGAUUUACAUCAAUUUUAGUAGAUUUAGAGCUGAUCACCACUUGGAAGACCCUAUUUUAGCUAGCUUAAGAAAAAACUGGUGGAGUAUUUAUUAGGGAAUUAGCACAUCUAGCAUAAGGAUCACAUUUCCUGCAAUAUACUCCAUCUUCAAGUGUGCAUGUUCUUGGGAGAUGUAGUUCUCUGUAAUUGUUUUAGAGGGUUUUGAAGAAUUGUUUUCAAUAAAUAAAAAUUGCUCAAGUCGUCAUAUUUUAACCCAGCAGAAAUGUAAGUAUGUGUCACCAACUUUUUGCUGGCAAACUACAGUUCCAGCAUCUCGUUAUCUUACCUAAAAUCUUGAUUGACCUUCAUGCAAGGGGAAGACUCCAGUUGUCUGUUUGACAAAGCAGCUGACUUGUUUGCUCUUUCCUGUACGUUUAUCCCACCUCAUCUUUCAGAAAGCCUACAUUUCCUGAGCUUAUCUUAUUUGACAAGGUGGUUCCCCCAUCCACUUCUCCCUCUUUACCUUGUUCUUUCUUUUCUGCAAGUUUCCAUCCUCCAGGUCUCAGGGAAAACACACAGCCACCUGCAUGGGACCUGAAAUGUGUUAUCACUGGAUUGUAGGCACUGCCUCUUUCUGCCUCGUUUUCCUGGUAUCCUCAUCAGCUUCUGCAGAUCUUAAUCAUUCAUUUUCACAUAAAAGUUUCCUACUGCUGUUGCUAAGUUUCUCAGCUGCACCACAUCUGACCUGCACAAGCUGCAGAACCAAGAGGGGUUUGACCUAUUACUCACACAGGUGUAGGUCAGGUUAUACCUUGCUUUGAAGUCAAUACCGUUAGUUUAAACCUGUAGCAACUGUAAGAGGGAUCUGUCUGUGAGGUGAGCUGCCUGCAUCUGUUACUGAGGGAUCUGAACACUGAUGUCUCCAGACUGUUUCACAGCUGCUGCUCUUCACAGAGGACCAUGACAUGGGAUUCAAUUUACUUAAGGUACGAUUUGAAUUUUCUUUCCCUUUUUCUUCUUUUUUCCAAAAUGUGUUUGCUUGAAUGGGCAUUGCAUAUUUCCCUGUCCUGCUGAGAUAGGGAAAAACAACAAAGUAGGAAGAAUGGCCUACACUAAAGGUGUUUCCUUGAAUGUGUAUUUUCUAGCCUCCUUAGAAAUGCAAUAGCAAUCUCUAAUAUAUGCUAAUCUGCUUUUUAUCUGUCCUUGAAGUUUAAUUGUUCUUAAACACAGAUCAGGACCAAAUUUUAAAGAAGCCACACUACUGGCUGAGAAAUGGCAGAUGCCAUCCCAAUAUUGGUAACUGAACAUUCCAGCCUCAAAGUAUUUUCUAAGAAUCUCAGAUCCCAAUGUUUCUCUUGUCUACUCACACAUCCAAUAUUGGUUGUGCUUGCUGCAGGCCAGUCACAAACUAAUGAGACUCUCGCUCUUUCCAUUAGUAAAACGGAGAUUCAGACUCAUCAGGACGGUCCCAAAGUGACCACAUGACUGACCACGUAAAAUAAGAAUUCAACAACAUCAGAAUGAGAGCAUGGGGCCUGAAUCAGACUGGAUGCUCAGCAGUCACCAAAGAGCUGAGCACGUCUCUUUUGACGCACUGACAGGACAUAGCAAGGAGCAGUGAUGAAUCCAUCACGUUUGUCAAAUGGAAAGGUAACAGAGAGGUAAAUGAACCGGAGAGACAUGGUAGAACAGAGUCUUAGCCUAGAUUUAAGUGUGUGCAAACAAUUUUUUUUUUUAUUAGCAUUGGAAGAGUUUUUUACAUUUUUUUAAAAUCAGGUUUGAGGAAAACUUGAUCUCUGAUAUUCAAAUUGUGACUGUGAGCUAGAGAUGCUAUAGUGCAUGUGUGCCUCCAAAUUGUUUAUGAUGAGAAGGCAGAAUAGAUGGAGUCUAUAGCAGAUGUCCCUGACGCUUAGUAUUCUCUUAUGUUGUAUAGACAGUCACACCUACCAGAUGCUGCACAAAGACCAAGUAGUAUUAAUUACUAUCAAUAGACCCAAGUUCAACAGCUUGAGCUGCAGGGAUAUCCAGGUUUGCAGUGAUGCUUGAGUCACCAUCUGCAGUGAACAGUAUUGGUGCUGAAAAUUGUUCAGAGGCAAUGCUAGUAAUAAUCAUGCACGGAGUCUUUGAUGAUUGUGAUGCCCUCACUGGGCAUCCUUGCUAAGGUGCCAAUGCUGCAGGUGGAUCUCUUUUUUUCAAGUACAGAAGGACAUGCUCUGUAGAUUAUUCCAGUAGAUAAGUUUCUUUCUGACAAACAAGCUCAACCAGAAGGUGUUGCCAUGAAAUCUGGACCUUUGAAGGUAAGUCAAGUACUUGCAGUAACAGAAGAAAUGUGAUUGGUGUCACUGUGAAACAACAGUGCCAGACAUGACAAGUGAAGUUUGCUUUUGUACCAUCCCACUGAGCAUUUCUCAAAGAACUUUCUGUGAAAAUUCUCUGCCUCUAUUACCCUGUGGGGUGUGUAUGUAUCUUCCAGUUUCUGGAGCACCAAAUUGAUCUCUCGUGCUACAGCAAAGUAUUAAGCAUCAUUCAUUAUGUCUGUAGUCCUUACCUACCAUAGCUCUAUUUCUACUCCCAGCACAGCAAACAGCAAGUCUGUUUUAUCUGGUGAGAGCACAGCAUGAAGUGGGCUGCUGAGCCUACUGGCUUCCAGCAUGACGCUCUCUAUAGUCCCAGGCAGUGCAGUGAGUAAAUGGCUCUUGGCACAGGCUGGCUUUUGCUGUGCUGCAGGUGGUAGCCUCUUAUCUGAAGUGGGUUCCUCAUCUGCUGACCUUUCCAGCAGCUGUUCUGGAAUAGCACAGAAGUGAUGAAAUCAGUGGGAAUGUGUCCUACCAUCCCCGUGUUACCACACAAACCUUGUGAUGCCUUGGCUCUCUGUGCAGUACUGAAACUGUUGUACAUAUUGCUGGGGAUCUUACUUUCAUGUGGGAGUUGCUUCAGAAAAAUCCGUAAUACUAAGGGUACAGCCAGAGCACUCAGAAGAGGCAUGAUAUUUUUCAUAAUUCGUGGACCACGUAUGCAUACUUUAGACGUUUCUCUAUCUGCAGAACAUGUGGAUCUGAACUCUGUUUCCCACUGUAUAUUCCAGUGCCCAAAUGUUGAGUUCCUCUUCUCAGCCAACCAGUGUAACGUAUGGACCAGCUCUCUAUGCUGAGUCUAAAAGAAUCCAUUUGGUUCUAUCUCCACCCUGCUAAGUAACUGUAGAUGACACGCAUUAAUGGUCUUUGCCUCACUUUUUUGUCCUCUGUAAAACUGUGGUAGUGAUCCUGAUUUAUUUGUAAAACACGAAGUUGAAUUGAUGAGAAGAGCUAUCAAAGAGCUAAGUGUUGUCAUUACCUGAGCAAUCUUUUCAUUUCUCCGUUAAUCCUGUAAAAGACACAAGUACUCUGCUUACCAGACCUAAUCUACAAGAUGGUACAAUGGUGACGACUCAUUAUAAAUUAUAGAAAAAAAAUUCUGGGAAAGAGAUCCUUUUGGCUUGCUCCAAUUAUGCCAAUUGGACUAAGAAACUUUUUAAAAUGGGAAUUUAUCUUUACAAAGAUUUGUAGCCAAGCCUUUCCAGUUUGUUAAAAUGUAAUUAGUAUCUGCUUGUUAAUAUGAUGUUCAUUGAUUUUUAAAGUAUACAGACUUCAAAGCUGAAAAUAAAUAAAUAAAAAGAGAGAUAAUUCAAACCAGAGUGGAACAGCUCGGACAGUUUUACUCUUUUGCCAGGAUCCCAAAGCUGUUGUGUUCAAACAAUGCCACAGUUUGAGUGGAAAUGUGAGAUUAAAUCCAAACCCUGCGUGUCAGCUUUUUUGCAAAUGACUAUCCAGGAUUUCACUAAAAUGUUGAACCACAAGAGAUCAUGUUGCAGGGAAUUUUAUUGCUUAACAGCUCGUGAUAGUCUUCUGUUUCUCUAUUAUGCAUAAUAAAUAGGCCUAGGUACCUACAGCCUAGUAAAUAUCAGUGGAAUGUUGGUACCUAACUCUGUUAGACACUUUGGAAGGAAUAUUCCAAAUGGUCAAAAGAGGAAGGAGUUUACAAAGAUGAUGGAUGGUUACAGAAACUCCCAGUGAUGUAUCAAUGCAGUGCGGCACACAAGAGAAUGUACUACAUAUGGAACAGAAUUUUAUCACACUAAUGGAGAAAACUGCAAGAGUCAGGUGGAGGUAAUUUCAAAUUUGUGCAGGAGUUCAAAGCUAUGGCUGAGGAAUGACCUGAGGAGACUGCAAAACUCUAGAAAACAUCAUCUGAAGAAGAAGGCUUGAGGACAGAAAAGUGAAAAUAACCAUUCACAGAAGAAGACUAUGCAAGUGCAAGAGAAAGGAUGGAAUUAGCCACUGCAGGAGAGAUGAAGCAGAGUAAUGCGUUCGUUUGGAGAAGGAAAACAUUUCAGUAUCAAAGAAAGGAAGGGAAGAUAUCCCCCAAAGACAAAACAAGAUUGUGGAGACAGGCAGGAUUGAGACUCAACAGGACAGAAUGAGGGAGAAAAGAAGACAGAGUGAUUUUCAGACAAGCAAAAGAGAAGAGGAGAUCGUACCACACCACUGAGACUUGUGUGUCUGCGACUGUGGAUGAUUCUCUUAAUUGUUGAGAACAAGGGAGGAACAAUGUUAAGCUGAAACGUGGAGAGAUGCCUUGUCUUCCAUUCCAGCUAGGAAUGUUAGAUGUGCACAGGUGGCAAAGAGAAUAAGGAAAGGCGAUGGUAGCAAGGACUGUAUUUCAUUCAGGACAAAAUGGAAACAGGCAAAGGACAAAUCCAAUGGGAAGAGACAGUGCUUUAAGAUAGAGAUGCCCCAGUAGUUUUUCUACUGAAUCCUUCCAGUUCUUGCAGAAAAUUAUAGGGGAAGGAAAAGCGAUAUAGGCUCUCAGAAAUAGAUCUGUGAAAGAAAUUUGAGAUGUUUGGUAGCUGAGAGGCCAACACCUGAAGCAGGUACUUCUCUGAGGAUGUUAUCCAUUUGGCCGCUUGUGACACCAGCCUUCCAGUGAGUAAAGCUACCUUUCAGCUGUAAAACAGCAGGAAGUGGAUGCAAGAGUACUUUCUGAUUUAACCAACAGGAAAAGAAAAAAUCUUGAUAGGAAAUAUAGUAAGAGAUGACAGUCUUCAAAAGAGAAAAGCACACUGAAAUAGAAGUAUUAAUCCUCCACCGGUCCCAGUGUGAGAAGAUAAUUUUCUCUAAAAAGUUCGAAAUUGCCACUCAUUUGUAAUGGCAGAUUUACUGUGGGAUGCCAUCCAUGGUGAGCACAGAAGGAGGUUAGCUCUGUGAUAACAUCUAAGCCUUCAUUCCUGUACUGUAUACAACAUAAGUGUUCUGAUCUGUUUGUGUUCUUUGAAAAUUGAAGGGGGCCACCUAAGAUUAUAAACUGCUUCAUUGUUAUCCCAGACAGUCUUGACAGGAGACGCAGUCAAUGAGAACACUGUCCCAAGAGGUUAAAAAAA